GCGGGGUAAAUAGUAGAGUAAAAAUAUAAUUUUAAAAUGCAUAAUAAUGCAAAAAUAGUGAAAACCGCGAUUCAGCUAUAUAUUUUGCAUAUAGCCCCUUUCAAUGGAAUUAAUGUUCUGUUAAUGUCUACUUAAACCAACGAAACGUCUAUUUUGAUGGUUGGGACAUAAAACAUCGAUGUUAGCCUAUUGUUAUGUAAGCAACAUCUUUGUAAAUAUUAUGUUUCUUUAGAGACGGGAACACAUAACAUAAGCCUCGUAAAUUGAAUUAUUGUAGGCUAUUAUAAUCUUGGUUAGGAUUUAGCUAGUACUUUAAGUUAGUUCU
rnacentral:misc_RNA from 1 species